rnacentral:rRNA from 1 species
GUGGUUCCACGAGCUUUACUCCAACCCAUGUGAACUUACCUUCUGUUGCCUCGGGGCUGCCGGCUGUUUCUCUCCAGGGAGUUGCGGCUAUAGGCCCCGGUGGACCACUAAACUCUUGUUUUUAUAAGUCAUUCUGAAUUAUAAACUUAAUAAGUUAAAACUUUCAACAACGGAUCUCUUGGUUCUGGCAUCGAUGAAGAACGCAGCGAAAUGCGAUAAGUAAUGUGAAUUGCAGAAUUCAGUGAAUCAUCGAAUCUUUGAACGCACAUUGCGCCCAUUAGUAUUCUAGUGGGCAUGCCUGUUCGAGCGUCAUUUCAACCCUUAAGCUUAGCUUAGUGUUGGGAAUCUACCUAGCGGUAGUUCCUCAAAGACAUUGGCAGAGUCUAGGUUUUCUCUGAGCGUAGUAAUUUAUUCCUCGCUUCUGUAGUUGCCUAGACUAUCGCCACAAACCGAUUAAUUUUUUAAUGGUUGACCUCGGAUCAGGUAGGAAUACCCGCUGAACUUAAGCAUAUCAAA